rnacentral:rRNA from 1 species
CCUACGGGAGGCAGCAGUGAGGAAUAUUGGUCAAUGGACGAGAGUCUGAACCAGCCAAGUAGCGUGAAGGAUGACUGCCCUAUGGGUUGUAAACUUCUUUUAUAUGGGAAUAAAAUGUUCCACGUGUGGGAUUUUGUAUGUACCAUAUGAAUAAGGAUCGGCUAACUCCGUGCCAGCAGCCGCGGUAAUACGGAGGAUCCGAGCGUUAUCCGGAUUUAUUGGGUUUAAAGGGAGCGUAGGUGGAUUGUUAAGUCAGUUGUGAAAGUUUGCGGCUCAACCGUAAAAUUGCAGUUGAAACUGGCAGUCUUGAGUACAGUAGAGGUGGGCGGAAUUCGUGGUGUAGCGGUGAAAUGCAUAGAUAUCACGAAGAACUCCGAUUGCGAAGGCAGUUCACUGGACUGCAACUGACACUGAGGCGCGAAAGUGUGGGUAUCAAACAGGAUUAGAUACCCCAGUAGUC